GUCUACGGCCAUACCACCCUGAACGCGCCCGAUCUCGUCUGAUCUCGGAAGCUAAGCAUGGUCGGGCCUGGUUAGUACUUGGAUGGGAGAAGUUUCUGUACUGCAAAAG
rnacentral:rRNA from 1 species